rnacentral:rRNA from 1 species
CAACUUUCAACAACGGAUCUCUUGGCUCUCGCAUCGAUGAAGAACGCAGCGAAAUGCGAUAAGUAAUGUGAAUUGCAGAAUUCAGUGAAUCAUCGAAUCUUUGAACGCACCUUGCACUCCUUGGUAUUCCGGGGAGUAUGCCUGUUUGAGUGUCA